GAUGAACGCUGGCGGCGUGCCUAAUACAUGCCAGUCGAGCGAACAGAUAAGGAGCUUGCUCCUUUGACGUUAGCGGCGGACGGGUGAGUAACACGUGGGUAACCUACCUAUAAGACUGGAAUAACUCCGGGAAACCGGGGCUAAUGCCGGAUAACAUUUAGAACCGCAUGGUUCUAAAGUGAAAGAUGGUUUUGCUAUCACUUAUAGAUGGACCCGCGCCGUAUUAGCUAGUUGGUAAGGUAACGGCUUACCAAGGCAACGAUACGUAGCCGACCUGAGAGGGUGAUCGGCCACACUGGAACUGAGACACGGUCCAGACUCCUACGGGAGGCAGCAGUAGGGAAUCUUCCGCAAUGGGCGAAAGCCUGACGGAGCAACGCCGCGUGAGUGAUGAAGGUCUUCGGAUCGUAAAACUCUGUUAUUAGGGAAGAACAAAUGUGUAAGUAACUAUGCACGUCUUGACGGUACCUAAUCAGAAAGCCACGGCUAACUACGUG
rnacentral:rRNA from 1 species